rnacentral:rRNA from 1 species
AGUGAACGCUGGCGGUAGGCCUAACACAUGCCAGUCGAACGGCAGCACAGUAAGAGCUUGCUCUUACGGGUGGCGAGUGGCGGACGGGUGAGGAAUACAUCGGACUCUACUUUUUCGUGGGGGAUAACGUAGGGAAACUUACGCUAAUACCGCAUACGACCUACGGGUGAAAGCAGGGGCUCUUCGGCCCUUGCCCGAUUGUAUGAGCCGAUGUCGUAUUAGCUAGUUGGCGGGGUAAAGGCCCACCAAGGCGACGAUCCGUAGCUGGUCUGAGAGGAUGAUCAGCCACACUGGAACUGAGACACGGUCCAGACUCCUACGGGAGGCAGCAGUGGGGAAUAUUGGGCAAUGGGCGCAAGCCUGAUCCAGCCAUACCGCGUGGGUGAAGAAGGCCUUCGGGUUGUAAAGCCCUUUUGUUGGGAAAGAAAAGCAGAAGGUUAAUACCCCGCUGUUCUGACGGUACCCAAAGAAUAAGCACCGGCUAACUUCGUG